UGAGAAAAGCGAAGGAAAAUUGAGGUUCAGAGGAGUGUCAUCAAAGCAGAAGGGUUAUGGGUUGGGGUGGCUUCUUCUGUCAUUGUGCUUCUAUCAUCAAAGUUGAGAAAAAAUCACAGAAGAAGACAUGUUAGAGAAAAAUUUUACUACGUUUCAUGCCUCGAAUGUGCUCUUGCAGCAGCAAUAUCGAGAGCGUAGAUUUACGAAAUAUUCUGAAUUAAUAUCGUGUCUUCUUGUUGCUGAACAAAAUAAUGAGCUUUUGAUGAGAAAUCACCAGUCUCGUCCAACUGGAUUUGAACCAUUCCCUGAAGUGAAUGCAAUAUCGUCCCAAACUCAUGGACGUGGACGAGGACGUGGACGAGGACGAGGACAUGGAAGAAAUCCUCGAUACCAUGGUUCUUAUAGUAAUAAUUAUCAGAAAAUGAAAGCCCCGUUACACCACCAGAAGUGGAACAAUACUGAGAUAAAACAAGAAAAUGGGAAGCGUUUACAAUAUAAACCUCCUAAGAACCAUGAGAAUAAUUGUUAUAGAUGUGGUAUGAAGGGGCAUUGGUCGCGUACCUGUCGUACGCCCAAACAUUUGGUUGACCUUUACCAAACAUCAAUAAAAGCAAAAGAGAUAGAAAUGAACUUUAUUGAUGGUGAUGGAUUGGACCUAACCUACUAUGACAUUGAUUUCUUUGGAGGUCCCAAUGAAAAAACAAAUUGUGGCAGGUGGAGGGGGAGAUGGUCCUUAACUAUUGAAAAUGGCGUUGCCGGCGGCAGCUCACCGACGAUGACUAAUCGGCCAUGGAUAUGGAGAUGGUUUCACGGAAAAUAAAAAGAAAUGAAAAAGAAAAAGAAAUGAAAGGAAGAAAAAAUGAGGGGGCGUGUGGUAGUGGGUGUUCGAAUGGAGCAAAAACCCAGAAAAAAAAAUGGGGAAGAAAAAAAAUCUGGGGGGAUCCCCGGCCGACAAUCUGGAGUGAAGAAAAUAAGGGGAGAAACCGAGAAAUGGAGAGAAGCUGAGAAAGAAAAGAAUGGGGUUGGCAUGUGGGAGUUAGGGUAGCUGGAGUAUGGAGAAAACAAUGAGGGAAAUGGGGGAGCCCGCUGGAAAAUGGGAGUCUCGUUUGUUUCAAAUAAACCAGACACCAGUACAAUCAACAAUCUCCACAAAACCCGCAUAAAACAAAAUCCAAUUUUUUUUUCUCUUUUUUGUUGCAAAGAGUUGAGAGAAUAAAAAAUAAAAAAAUAAAUAAAAAAUUGGUAGACAUUCACGGCUCUAAGGGUAAGAAAAGUCGAGAAAAGCAAAGAAAAAUUGAGGUUCAGAGGAGUGUCAUCAAAGCAAAAGGGCUAUGGGUUGGGGUGGCUUCUUUUGUCAUUGUGCUUUUGGAAAUUCUCCUAGGUUUCUCUUUGAGUCGGUGAUUGAAGAACCCUUCUCCUUCUCUCUCCUUCGUCUCCACCUGCCACCAUUUGUUACUGAAAAAUUAGGCUUUCGUAUAUAUUUAAAAGAUAAGAAAUGGUGCCUCACCUCACAACAUAGGACUUGGCCAAGU
rnacentral:lncRNA from 1 species